GACGAACGCUGGCGGCGUGCUUAACACAUGCAAGUCGAACGGAAAGGCCCUGCUUUUGUGGGGUGCUCGAGUGGCGAACGGGUGAGUAACACGUGAGUAACCUGCCCUUGACUGUGGGAUAACUUCAGGAAACUGGGGCUAAUACCGGAUAGGAGCUCCUGCUGCAUGGUGGGGGUUGGAAAGUUUCGGCGGUUGGGGAUGGACUCGCGGCUUAUCAGCUUGUUGGUGGGGUAGUGGCUUACCAAGGCUUUGACGGGUAGCCGGCCUGAGAGGGUGACCGGCCACAUUGGGACUGAGAUACGGCCCAGACUCCUACGGGAGGAAGCAGUGGGGAAUAUUGCACAAUGGGCGGAAGCCUGAUGCAGCAACGCCGCGUGCGGGAUGACGGCCUUCGGGUUGUAAACCGCUUUCGCCUGUGACGAAGAGUGAGUGACGGUAAUGGGUAAAGAAGCACCGGCUAACUACGUG
rnacentral:rRNA from 1 species